ensembl:lincRNA
AGCAACAGCAGGCGAUGUAAGAAACAGAGUCUUCUUAUGAUUAAGACAUAGAGAUGGAACCAGCUUGAUUUAAUACCGAAAUGAGUCUGACAUGAACCAUGGCCAAGUCAACAGAGACAGGCAACCAACACGUGACACUUGCCUGCAAGCUUUUCUGAGACACGGAUGGCUGAGAGCCAGCUCUAAAUAUUUCACGUCUCUGUCUGAGUUGAUCAGGUUUCCCAAAGCAGGGUGCAGUCCAUCACAGCAGGGAAAGCAUGGCCGCAGAUGCAAGGCAGUUGUCAAUAUCGUCUCCACAGUCAGCAAGCAGAGAGUAGACAGGAAACACAGCCAGGCCAUAAAACCUUCAAGCCUUCCUCAGUGGCCUGCUUUCUCCAGAGGAGUUCUACUUCCUAAUGGCUACACAAGCUUCCAAAAGAGCGCCACCAGCUGGGGACCAGCUGUUCCAACAUGAGCCUGUGGGGGACAUUUAACAUUCAAGCACACGGGAGACUGCUAUGGACAGAAGAAAGCAGAGCAUUUUCUUCAGACAUGGUGAGCAGGGUGUGAUUUGUUGCUUCUGUCUGCACAGGUUUAACUUAAGAAAUCGCCAUCGCCAGAAUUCAAAUAAAACCUUCAGUUCUC